AAUCCAUAGGUUAAUGAGGCGAACCGGGGGAACUGAAACAUCUAAGUACCCCGAGGAAAAGAAAUCAACCGAGAUUCCCCCAGUAGCGGCGAGCGAACGGGGAGGAGCCCAGAGCCUGAAUCAGCAUGUGUGUUAGUGGAAGCGUCUGGAAAGGCGCGCGAUACAGGGUGACAGCCCCGUACACAAAAGCGCAUGUGCUGUGAGCUCGAUGAGUAGGGCGGGACACGUGGUAUCCUGUCUGAAUAUGGGGGGACCAUCCUCCAAGGCUAAAUACUCCUGACUGACCGAUAGUGAACCAGUACCGUGAGGGAAAGGCGAAAAGAACCCCGGCGAGGGGAGUGAAAAAGAACCUGAAACCGUGUACGUACAAGCAGUGGGAGCCCCACCACCAAAGCAUUUGCUGUACCGCGUUGACGGAGCGAAGCGACGUCAAACCGAUAAAACAGCAGUGUAAAGUGAGCCGCAGGGCGCUUUGCGCGACAGCGCAAAGGCAGGCGGUUUCGCGUAGCGAAAGCGAAUGCUUUGGGGUGGGGUGACUGCGUACCUUUUGUAUAAUGGGUCAGCGACUUAU
rnacentral:rRNA from 1 species